UACUCUUGGCGAUGGAUCACUCAGCUUGUGCGUCGAUGAAGAACGCAGCUAGCUGCGAGAAGUAAUGUAAAUUGCAGGACACAGUGAUCAUUGACACUUCGAACGCACUUUGCGGCCCUGGGUCCCUCCCGGGGCUAUGCCUGCCUGAGGAUCA